GAUGAACGCUGGCGGCGUGCCUAAUACAUGCAAGUCGAGCGAACAGACGAGGAGCUUGCUCCUCUGACGUUAGCGGCGGACGGGUGAGUAACACGUGGAUAACCUACCUAUAAGACUGGGAUAACUUCGGGAAACCGGAGCUAAUACCGGAUAAUAUAUUGAACCGCAUGGUUCAAUAGUGAAAGACGGUUUUGCUGUCACUUAUAGAUGGAUCCGCGCCGCAUUAGCUAGUUGGUAAGGUAGCGGCUUACCAAGGCGACGAUGCGUAGCCGACCUGAGAGGGUGAUCGGCCACACUGGAACUGAGACACGGUCCAGACUCCUACGGGAGGCAGCAGUAGGGAAUCUUCCGCAAUGGGCGAAAGCCUGACGGAGCAACGCCGCGUGAGUGAUGAAGGUCUUCGGAUCGUAAAACUCUGUUAUUAGGGAAGAACAAAUGUGUAAGUAACUAUGCACGUCUUGACGGUACCUAAUCAGAAAGCCACGGCUAACUACGUG
rnacentral:rRNA from 1 species